rnacentral:rRNA from 1 species
CGGCGAGUGAAGCGGCAAAAGCUCAAAUUUGAAAUCUGGCACCNNNNGNGUCCGAGUUGUAAUUUGGAGAGGCAUCUUCUGGAGGGGCCCAGCCUAUCUUCCUUGGAACAGGAGGUCAUANAGGGUGAGAAUCCCGUUCUUGGCUGGAUACUCCCUCCUGCAUGUAGUGUCUUCUACGAGUCCAGUUGUUUGGGAAUGCAGCUCAAAAUGGGUGGUAAAUUUCAUCUAAAGCUAAAUACUGGCGAGAGACCGAUAGCGCACAAGUAGAGUGAUCGAAAGAUGAAAAGCACUUUGAAAAUAGAGUCAAAAAGUACGUGAAAUUGUUGAAAGGGAAGCGCUGGAGACCAGACUCACCCUUGAACAAACAACCUCUCUCUCUAGAGGGUGCACUUGUUCUUGGUUGGGCCAGCAUCANUUGGGGUGGUGGGACAAAGACCCAAGGAAUGUGGCUCCCCUUGGGGAGUGUUAUAGCCCUGGGUGAAAUGCUGCCAACCCCGACUGAGGACCGCNCUUCAGCUAGGAUGCUGGCAUAAUGGUCUUCANCGACCCGUCUUGAAACACGGACCAAGGAGUCUAACAUCUAUGCGAGUGUUUGGGUUCC